rnacentral:tRNA from 1 species
GUGUAGCUCAGUUGGUAGAGCAUGGUCCUUGCAACACCAGGACAGUGGGUUCGAUUCCCAGAACCAC